CAGGCUCCGGUUCACGCCGUGGCGACACGCGACGGCGACCCGGCGGCC
rfam:Frankia inefficax strain EuI1c chromosome, complete genome.